UUUUUAAUUAACCACUUAGGGACGGCUGGCGUGCUAUGCCAUCCUUAAGGACCUGGCUAUAAACGCCGGGGGACAGCAUAGCACGCCCCGCCGUCCUUUCUACUUACCCGGUUGCCGGCGAUCCCAUGCCGGCUAUCGCAGUAUUGGGACUUACCUGGGAGCCCAGGGAGUCCCCCUCCGUCUGUUUCGGCCCUCCUGGUCUAUGUGAUUGCAAAGUCCUUGCCUGGACCUCACAAUCACAUGGAUGGCAUAGCCGUCCACAGCAAUGCCAGCAGGGGUUGUGCCUGGAAUGACAGGUACUCCCCCUGCUGCCUGAAUUUUUUUUUUUUAAAGUUUCAAAC